rnacentral:lncRNA from 1 species
CUGGCAACCAGCCGCCAUGACAAAGCUUGUGCUCAAACUUUAGGGUCCCCUAGGGUUGGCGAUGGUGGUUUUCAUUUAGGUCUGGUUGGGCCCCCCAAGUAGAAGAUUUCAAGACUGAUUCUGAUUCAACUCUGUCAUGUAGUACUUGUGGUGCCAGAUUGGAGAAGGAGGAAAAAAAAAAAAGCAAAACAAAAAACACUCUCCUAGUCCAGAAAAGUUUGGCUCAAGACGGCCUAUAAUCAAAAAAUAGCAAAGAGGAAAAGACUGUGUGUUUGUUCUUAUAAAAUAUGGAGUCAGUGCUUUUAGUAUCAUCAGACUUCAGUGUCAGACCUCUGUCACAGCUGCGGCUAAAUGCAUCUGAGAAAGAACUGGAAGGUUUUAAUAAAAAUUGGAGUGAAACCUAUAGAUUGAGUUCAGAAGUGACAUCUUUACUGUGA